rnacentral:misc_RNA from 1 species
UUUCCGUAGGUGAACCUGCGGAAGGAUCAUUCACAAUAAGUGUUUUAUGGCACUUUUUAGACAAUCUAUAUCUACCUUGUGUUCCACGUUAUGAUACGCGCUAUCGUUAUCUUUUAGGGUACGGAAGGGGGAACCUCUACAAGUUACCCACAUCACUUCAAACUUAUUUGUCUGAACAUUUUUUAUCAUGAAUUAACUUAAUUUUAAAAUACAACUAUCCACAACGGUUCUCUUGACUCACGCAUCGAUGAAGACCGCAGCAGAUCGCAUGAUCACACG